UGGCGAGUAUAGGUUUCGGCUCACAUUUUUCUCCGAUUGAUAGCCACAAAAUAGAAUACUAAUGAGCCCAAAUUAUCCAUAAGGCUCCUGCUAAUUUUUACCCAAAUUAUCCAUAAAUAACCCUAAGUUUUGAGAAAAAUUCAAGAAUUUUACUAAAAAAGCCAAAGCUGCUAUUUAUUUUAACCAGUAUGAAUAUGUUUACGUUCUUUUAAAACUGAUAUUUUACUGCAUUGAGGAUUCAACGACAAGAACAAUGAAUUUGGAGAUGUAUUAAUGCCAAAUAAAUCCUGUUAAGCUGUCAAAAUGACAUCUUAUAGCCCGACAAGGACAGAAAUACAAAGUCAAAGACAGCGAUGCACAGGAACAAUUGUAUGAAAUAUAAAUUCGAUAUAUAAAAAAAUUGUUGAUUUUAACGGACACGACUUCGAAAAUUUUUGCAAAAUUAUUCAAAACAAAAAU